AUUGAACGCUGGCGGCAGGCCUAACACAUGCAAGUCGAACGAGUGGCGGAUGGGUGAGUAAUGUCAGGGAAACUGCCCGAUGGAGGGGGAUAACUACUGGAAACGGUAGCAAAUACCGCAUAGCAUCGGGUGUGACCAGAUGGGAUUAGCUUGUAGGUGAGGGAACGGCGCACCUAGGCGACGAUCCCUAGCUGGUCUGAGAGGAUGACCAGCCACACUGAAUCUGCGACACGUUCCAGACUCCUACGGGUGGCAGCAGUGGUGAAUAUUGCACUAUGGGCGCAAGCCUGAUGCAGCCAUGCCGCGUGUAUGAAGAAGGCCUUCGGGUUGUAAAGUCCUUUCAGCGGGUAGGCGUUACCCGCAGAAGAAGCACCGGCUAACUCCGUGCCAGCCGCCGCGGUAAUUC
rnacentral:rRNA from 1 species